GACGAACGCUCGCGGCGUGCUUAACACAUGCAAGUCGAACGGAAAGGCCCUGCUUUUGUGGGGUGCUCGAGUGGCGAACGGGUGAGUAACACGUGAGUAACCUGCCCUUGACUUUGGGAUAACUUCAGGAAACUGGGGCUAAUACCGGAUAGGAGCUCCUGCUGCAUGGUGGGGGUUGGAAAGUUUCGGCGGUUGGGGAUGGACUCGCGGCUUACCAGCUUGUUGGUGGGGUAGUGGCUUACCAAGGCUUUGACGGGUAGCCGGCCUGAGAGGGUGACCGGCCACAUUGGGACUGAGAUACGGCCCAGACUCCUACGGGAGGCAGCAGUGGGGAAUAUUGCACAAUGGGCGGAAGCCUGAUGCAGCAACGCCGCGUGCGGGAUGACGGCCUUCGGGUUGUAAACCGCUUUCGCCUGUGACGAAGCGUGAGUGACGGUAAUGGGUAAAGAAGCACCGGCUAACUACGUG
rnacentral:rRNA from 1 species